ACGCUGGCGGCAGGCCUAACACAUGCAAGUCGAGCGGUAGCACAGGAGAGCUUGCUCUCUGGGUGACGAGCGGCGGACGGGUGAGUAAUGUCUGGGAAACUGCCUGAUGGAGGGGGAUAACUACUGGAAACGGUAGCUAAUACCGCAUGACCUCGCAAGAGCAAAGUGGGGGACCUUCGGGCCUCACGCCAUCGGAUGUGCCCAGAUGGGAUUAGCUAGUAGGUGGGGUAAUGGCUCACCUAGGCGACGAUCCCUAGCUGGUCUGAGAGGAUGACCAGCCACACUGGAACUGAGACACGGUCCAGACUCCUACGGGAGGCAGCAGUGGGGAAUAUUGCACAAUGGGCGCAAGCCUGAUGCAGCCAUGCCGCGUGUGUGAAGAAGGCCUUAGGGUUGUAAAGCACUUUCAGCGAGGAGGAAGGCGUUGCAGUUAAUAGCUGCAGCGAUUGACGUUACUCGCAGAAGAAGCACCGGCUAACUCCGUGCCAGCAGCCGCGGUAAUACGGAGGGUGCAAGCGUUAAUCGGAAUUACUGGGCGUAAAGCGCACGCAGGCGGUUUGUUAAGUCAGAUGUGAAAUCCCCGAGCUUAACUUGGGAACUGCAUUUGAAACUGGCAAGCUAGAGUCUUGUAGAGGGGGGUAGAAUUCCAGGUGUAGCGGUGAAAUGCGUAGAGAUCUGGAGGAAUACCGGUGGCGAAGGCGGCCCCCUGGACAAAGACUGACGCUCAGGUGCGAAAGCGUGGGGAGCAAAC
rnacentral:rRNA from 1 species